AUGAAGAACGCAGCGAAAUGCGAUAACUAAUGUGAAUUGCAGAAUUCCGUGAAUCAUCGAGUCUUUGAACGCACAUUGCGCCCCCUGGUAUUCCGGGGGGCAUGCCUGUCCGAGCGUCAUUGCUGCCCAUCAAGCACGGCUUGUGUGUUGGGUCCUCGUCCCCCCCGGGGGACGUGCCCGAAAGGCAGCGGCGGCACCGCGUCCGGUCCUCGAGCGUAUGGGGCUUUGUCACCCGCUCUGCAGGCCCGGCCGGCGCUGGCCGACGUGAAAGCAACCAUUUUUUCUCCAGGUUGACCUCGGAUCAGGUAGGGAUACCCGCUGAACUUAAGCAUAUCAAUAAGCGGGGGA
rnacentral:misc_RNA from 1 species